rnacentral:rRNA from 1 species
GCUCAACCGAGGAAGUGCUUCGAAAACUGGUAAACUUGAGUGCAGAAGAGGAAAGUGGAACUCCAUGUGUAGCGGUGGAAUGCGUAGAUAUAUGGAAGAACACCAGUGGCGAAGGCGGCUUUCUGGUCUGUAACUGACGCUGAGAUUCGAAAGCAUGGGUAGCAAACAGGAUUAGAUACCCUGGUAGCCCAUGCCGUAAACGAUGAGUGCUAAGUGUUGGAGGGUUUCCGCCCUUCAGUGCUGCAGCUAACGCAUUAAGCACUCCGCCUGGGGAGUACGACCGCAAGGUUGAAACUCAAAGGAAUUGACGGGGGCCCGCACAAGCGGUGGAGCAUGUGGUUUAAUUCGAAGCAACGCGAAGAACCUUACCAGGUCUUGACAUACCAUGAAAAGCUUAGAGAUAAGUCUUUCCCUUCGGGGACAUGGAUACAGGUGGUGCAUGGUUGUCGUCAGCUCGUGUCGUGAGAUGUUGGGUUAAGUCCCGCAACGAGCGCAACCCUUAUUAUCAGUUGCCAGCAUUCAGUUGGGCACUCUGGUGAGACUGCCGGUGACAAACCGGAGGAAGGUGGGGACGACGUCAAAUCAUCAUGCCCCUUAUGACCUGAGCUACACACGUGCUACAAUGGUCGGUACAACG